GUGGGGAAUUUUGGACAAUGGGGGAAACCCUGAUCCAGCGACGCCGCGUGAAGGAUGAAGGCCUUCGGGUUGUAAACUUCUUUUGGAGGGGACGAAUAAAUUGACGGUACCCUCAGAAAAAGCCACGGCUAACUACGUGCCAGCAGUCGCGGUAAUACGUAGGUGGCGAGCGUUACUCGGAAUUACUAGGCGUAAAGCGUAUGUAGGCGGUUGUAUAAGUCUAUGGUGAAAUUUCCUGGCUCAACUGGGAAGGGACAUAGAUACUGUAUGGCUUGAGUGUUGGAGGGGGAGACGGAAUUCCUGGUGUAGCGGUGAAAUGCGUAGAUAUCAGGAGGAACACCGAUGGCGAAAGCAGUCUCCUGGCCAAAUACUGACGCUGAGGUACGAAAGCUAGGGUAGCAAACAGGAUUAGAAACCCGUGUAGUCC
rnacentral:rRNA from 1 species